AACAAACUCAACUUUUUAUUAUCGAUGAUAGAACUUUUUGCUCUUCCAGCCGCUGCUCCUUAAAAUAAAACCCUAGUAACGUAAAUCUACAUGCUGGAGCAGCCUUUAUCGAUUUUAUAUCUAUAUACUUUGUUUACUUCAUUAGUAUCUCCUUCUGUUCCGACGGAGACAUCACUCCAUCCAUUCCGGAUGGCCAGAUCGAACGGCGAUGGCGACAGCCAUGGUGUCCUCAAACCCUAACUAUCAAUGGUUGGCGAAUAGGGCUUGGAUUUUUUAACUGGACUUGUAAAUUUGUUAAACUGGGCUUGAAAAUCUUUAACAGGCCUUUUAAUUUUUUUGGUUUGUUUUUAUUAGUCCAAUAUUUUUGAUUUUGGUCCAAUUCGGUUUAAAUUAACCGAAUUAGAAAAUACUUCAGUUUAUUUCGGAAUUAAUUUUGAACGCCAUAACCGAACCGAAUAAACCGAUUACCGAAUAACCCGAACCGAAUAAAAAUUCGGUUCAAU